rnacentral:rRNA from 1 species
GGAUAACCUGCCCUAAGGAAGGGGAUAACCUCGGGAAACUGAGGAUAAUACCCUAUAGGAUACCGAUGCUGGAAUGCCCGGUAUCCCAAAGCUCCGGCGCCUUAGGAUGGAUCUGCGGCCGAUUAGGUCGUUGUUGGGGUAACGGCCCAACAAGCCGAUAAUCGGUACGGGUUGUGGGAGCAAGAGCCCGGAGUUGGAUUCUGAGACACGAAUCCAGGCCCUACGGGGCGCAGCAGGCGCGAAAACUUUACAAUGCGGGCAACCGUGAUAAGGGAACCUCGAGUGCCUGUACAUGCAGGCUGUCUGGGUGUCUAAAACACACCCAAAGAAAGGGCCGGGCAAGACCGGUGCCAGCCGCCGCGGUAAUACCGGCGGCUCGAGUGGUGGCCACUUUUAUUGGGCUUAAAGCGUUCGUAGCUGGGUUGUUAAGUCUCUUGGGAAAUCUGGCAGCUUAACUGUCAGGCGUCUAAGAGAUACUGGCAAUCUAGGAACCGGGAGAGGUGAGGGGUACUUCAGGGGUAGGAGUGAAAUCCUGUAAUCCUCGAGGGACCACCUGUGGCGAAGGCGCCUCACCAGAACGGCUUCGACAGUGAGGGACGAAAGCUGGGGGAGCAAACCGGAUUAGAUACCCGGGUAGUCCCAGCCGUAAACGAUGCGCGUUAGGUGUGUCGAUGACCACGAGUCAUCGAGGUGCCGAAGGGAAACCGUGAAACGCGCCGCCUGGGAAGUACAGUCGCAAGGCUGAAACU